GUGAGGGGGUGACUAGUGACAGAGGGAGGGAUGGGGUGACUAGUGACAGAGUGAGGGAGGGAAGGGGUGACUAGUGACAGAGAGAGGGAGUCACCCACUCCCUCACUCUGUCACCAGUCACCCCCCCCUCACUGUGUCUCCCCCUCACUCUGCCACCACUCAACACCUCCCUCCCUUACUCUGCCACCAGGUACCCCCUCACUCUGCCACCUGUCACAACCUCCCACACUCUUCCACCUGUCACCCUCUCCCUCACA